UCCUGGGCCAUUAGCUCAGGUGGUUAGAGCGCACCCCUGAUAAGGGUGAGGUCCCUGGUUCAAGUCCAGGAUGGCCCAUAUCUCUAUGUUGGGGGUAUAGCUCAGUUGGUAGAGCGCCUGCUUUGCAAGCAGGAUGUCAGCGGUUCGAGUCCGCUUACCUCCACUGAAUACCACCUCUUACAUAUAGUUGAAGUGGGAAAUUGUUUUGAGUCGUGUCCUAAUUUGCUCUGAGCGAAUCUAGCUUCCUAUUUUAUCCAAGAAAUAAGAUGCUGGACUCAUUGAAUUUUUUUUCAUUGUUUUCAGAGAACCUUGACAACUGCAUAGAUUAUUCUUAAAGACAAUAAGCAUCUUUAAUGAUGCAGAUUUAUUAUUUGUGCGAAUGCAUUAAAUAACAAUUCUAUUAAGCUGAUGCUUCAAUUAUUGAAGUUAUUGGUCAAGCUACAAAGGGCUCACGGAGGAUACCUAGGCACACAGAGGCGAUGAA
rnacentral:tRNA from 1 species